GUAAAUCUGUAAUAUUUCAGUCAUUUCAUGAUCAAUGUAUUGUGUUUCUAACGCCGAAAUGUUGGAGCCACAGUGAUAGACUCUUUCAAGUUUCAAGGUGAAGAUGCCAUCAUGAAACACAAAGUGCAAGGGAUGCAAACACGAUGGAAUUUUCUAUAGAGUAUAGGUAAAUUUGCAAGGGGGUAUAAACACAAUGGUGAAAACAAUGUAUUGAAAUUAAGCAGUAGAAUGCAACUCAAUGGGUUAUUAAAAUUAACUAACGUGUCAGGUUCUAUGCUUGAAACUAGGGUACCUGCAAGGUAGGGAUUGCUGCGGGCAUUAAAAGCAAAUAGAACUACAGUAAGCAGCACAAAUUAUAUCAGGCACAGUAAUUACUCGCAGCGACUAUAGUGAGCUGUGAAUGGAACUGAAAAGAAUUAAGCAAUAUAUAUUGAAGCACAUUAACCGUGGAUUGAAGUAGCAAAGACCAGGGAUUAAAGGGCAAUCAGAGGUGACAGAUAUUAAACAUGUGCGUCUCAUUGACAUACAGGUAAAUUAAGAUCAAAUUUUCAAGUCUGUUUACUGCUAGGCGCAUUUACCUUAUUAUAUAUACUGUAGACUAUAUACACAGAUUUAUCACACUAAGAAACCAAAACUUUAUAAAAAUAUAGAACUGACAGUGGC